ACUUGGCCCUCCAGACCGUCUUCUCUGCAGUAGCACGCUGUACUAGAGGAGCUUGCUCUUCUUGGAUGAGUUGCGAACGGGUGAGUAACGCGUAGGUAACCUGCCUUGUAGCGUGGGAUAACUAUUGGAAACCAUAGCUAAUACCGCAUAACAAUGGAUGACCCAUGUCAUUUAUUUGAAAGGGGCAAUUGCUCCACUACAAGAUGGACCUGCGUUGUAUUAGCUAGUAGGUGAGGUAAUGGCUCACCUAGGCGACGAUACAUAGCCGACCUGAGAGGGUGAUCGGCCACACUGGGACUGACACACGGCCCAGACUCCUACGGGAGGCAGCAGUAGGGAAUCUUCGGCAAUGGGGGCAACCCUGACCGACCAACGCCCCGUGAGUGAAGAAGGUUUUCGGAUCGUAAAGCUCUGUUGUAAGUCAAGAUCGGGUGUGAGAGUGGAAAGUUCACCCUGUGACGGUAGCUUACCAGAAAGGGACGGCUAACUACGUGCCAGCACCCGCGGUAAUACGUAAGUCCCGAGCGUUGUCCGGAUUUAUUGGGCGUAAAGCGAGCGCAGGCGGCUUGAUAACUCUGAAGUUAAUGCGCUGUGGCUCCACCUUACUUCGCUUUGGACACUGUCAAAUUUGAGUGCAGAAGGCGACAGUGGAAUUCCAUGUGCACCCGGUGACACGCCGCAGAUAUAUGGAAGGAACACCGGUGCGCGAAUGCCGCUCUCUG
rnacentral:rRNA from 1 species